AUGCAUAAACGUAAGAAAUACAAGCUAUCUAGAAAGAAUUUUAAUAAGAGUACAUGCUUUCUUUACAGAAAGAAAAAGUCUUAUAGAGGAAGGAGAAAAAUGAAGAACAUAGCAGCCGUUACAAGCUUCUCUGCUGCAUUUGCGAAGACUAGGUUUUCUCCAAUUUAUGAUCCUCCGUCUCACAUUGCUGUCUGUCCUGAAUUCUAUGGAAUUAACUCAGUUACAAGGGGCUGCCCUGUUGACUAUGUACAGAAUUGCCAAAAUGACCUCAAAACAACUUUGGAAUAGGGCAAACCCACCAUCUUCUUAAAAUAUUAUGAUAGGUUGAUGUUGGCAAUGUGUUUAUGCUGUGGAGCACAUGGCAAAAAGGUGUCUGCUCCCAUGGCAUUGGAAAAACACUAGAGACAACUAAUUUGGUGUUUGUUUUCAGAUUUUGUUACACAAAGUGAGGACUCAAAAUCCCUGGUUACAGAGUGAACUUUGCAAAGAUAACUUGCCAGUGGCAGGAAUCUGAGAGGUUCAGAUAUAAUGAAGAAGUGUUGUCACAUAAACUUUCCUCUUAUGAAAGAAGAAAUGUGUUCCCUAUCUGUGUUCCUUAGAUGUUAUUUUUUUGAAGUAGAAGAGAAACAAAUAUGGUCUCAGUUUUUCUUUUCUGUUCUAAAAUAAAGUUAGCAAAGAAGCAUUCA
rnacentral:lncRNA from 1 species